rnacentral:tRNA from 1 species
CAGAAUAUAGUUAAAGUAUAACAUAAAUUUUGGAGAUUUAAAUUUUUUUUUUUAUAUUCUGA